UACGGAGGAUCCGAGCGUUAUCCGGAUUUAUUGGGUUUAAAGGGUGCGCAGGCGGGAGAUUAAGUCGGCGGUGAAAUUUUGCAGCUCAACUGUAAAAGUGCCUUCGAAACUGGUUUCCUUGAGUGUAGAUGAAGUAGGCGGAAUUUGUGGUGUAGCGGUGAAAUGCAUAGAUAUCACUAGGAACUCCGAUUGCGCAGGCAGCUUACUGAACUACUACUGACGCUCAGGCACGAAGGCGUGGGGAUCAAACAGGAUUAGAUACCCGGGUAGU
rnacentral:rRNA from 1 species